CAGUAGCCACGGGAAUACAGAGGGUUCGAGCGUUAAUCGGAUUUACUGGGCGUAAAGCGUGCGUAGGCGGCUUCUUAAGUCGGAUGUGAAAUCCCUGAGCUUAACUUAGGAAUUGCAUUCGAUACUGGGAAGCUAGAGUAUGGGAGAGGAUGGUAGAAUUCCAGGUGUAGCGGUGAAAUGCGUAGAGAUCUGGAGGAAUACCGAUGGCGAAGGCAGCCAUCUGGCCUAAUACUGACGCUGAGGUACGAAAGCAUGGGGAGCAAACAGGAUUAGAUACCCCCGUAGUCCCUGUCUCUUAUAC
rnacentral:rRNA from 1 species